UUACGGUCAUAUCAGGUUGAAACACCGGAUCCCGUACUAUCAACGAAGGUAAGCAACGUUGAGUCUGGUCAAUAUAUAGACGGGUGAACUCUUGGGAAUAGCAGGCGUCGUAA